GCGCGUAUGCAGAAUAAUCCCAAGGAUAUACUCAAUUUACGCGAGGGAGGAUCCAAAGGAAUCAAGGAUACUAAAGAGGAUCAUCAGUUGUGUGCCGGCGCAAGCAUAGACUGAUAUUAUACAGAUACGUUGCAUUCGCGUGAGUACUCUGGUUCUUUCUUUGAUUUCCACUAUGAGCGUAGAGGGUACGAGUAAACGAGAUAAAUCUCCUUACAGGUGUAUAGAAAGCGAAAAAACCGAAACAUUACUUCGCGAAUUAAUCAAAAAACGUGGCGUUUUGAAGGCGAGACUUACAAAGUUCGCCAGUUAUUUAACUACUUGCGUUUCUGAAGCACCUACUAAUUUGCAUAUAGAUAUUAAGUUGCGCAUCCAAGGCGCAGUUGCACUUUUUAACGAAUUUAAUUCUGUGCAGAGCAAAAUUGAGGAAAAUGUGCCCGAAUCUUGUCUCGAAGAACAAUUAUUGCAGCGUGAACAAUUCGAGAAUAAUUAUUACAGUGCACAGGCUAGUGCCGAGUCCUUAUUAAAUGCUAGAACAUCUGCUACAAGCUCUCAGUGUCAAGGCCAACAUAAUAAUCCAUUACAAACUAUAAGAUUACCUACUAUCACUUUGCCCGAGUUCGAUGGUAUGUAUGAGAGUUGGCUCGAGUUUCGAGACACUUAUAUGUCAUUAGUUCAUAAUUCAUCAGAGCUUAGCAACAUUCAAAAAUUCCAUUAUCUCAGAUCUUCGUUGAGAAGUAGUGCAUUAUUAGUUAUAAACUCAUUAGAACUAACUUCCGAUAAUUACAUUGUUGCAUGGGAACUUUUACAAAGCAGGUAUAACAAUAAUAGAUUAUUAAUUCAAAAUCACAUCAAGUCUAUAUUUAAUAUGCAACCAAUAACCAAGGAAUCUCAUUUAUUAAUUAGGAAUUUAAUUGACAGCACAUUAAGGAAUUUACGAGCUCUUAAAAUAUUGGGCGAGCCCACGAAUUUCUGGGAUGCUCUUAUCAUAUUCAUUGUUGUUUCAAAACUUGAUAAAAUAACCGAGCGUGAAUGGGAACAGCACAAAGUUCAGUAAACUCGGUAUCGCAUAAUGAAGCUUCAACUUCUGCGGAGCUGGACACGCCCUCCGUGCCCGCUCAAACUGCAGAACACUCAUCCAGAAUAUUGAGCUGGCGGAUCCCAACUUUCUGGAGUCACAAGAUAUAGAUAUUUUGCUUGGCGCAGAGAUGUUCUGGGAUCUACUCACUCACGGAAAAAUAAGGCUACCUAAUGGACCUUAUUUGCAUAAUACUUUAUUCGGCUGGAUAAUAUCCGGUGCAAUAUAUCAUAAAUCACUAAAUGAUAAUGCUGGUCAUAUCCAGUGUAAUUAUACACAAACGAUGGAUGCGCUAUUACGACAAUUUUGGGAACUUGAGGAGCUACCCAAGCGUCAGGAUGCGCAGACUGAUGAGGAUCAGAUAUGCGAAAAUCACUUCCUCACUACAACUACGCGAAACAGUGAUGGCAGCAUCGCUUCGUGGCAUGCGCCGACGUUGCGAAGAUGUAUAGGCAAGUCCUGGUGCGCGAGCAACAGCGCCACCUGCAGUUAAUUCUCUGGCGAGACACUCCAUCGGAGCCUCUAGGGAUAUAUCGUCUAAAUACAGUCACUUACGGUACCGCAUCUGCUCCCUUUCUUAGUGUACGCUGUAUAAAGCAGUUAGGCGUCGAAUCUAAUAAUCUUGACGUUCAGAGAA